rnacentral:tRNA from 1 species
ACCAAAAUGGUGGAAUUGGCAGACACGCUAGGUUUAGGUUCUAGUUCUUAAAAUAGAGUAGGGGUUCAAGUCCCCUUUUUGGUA